UCCGUAAUAUAUUUUUGUGUGCUAUUUUGUAAAAGGUUAUACUGGCAAUGAGAAAUAAUUUGUUGAAUUUAGAAGUCAAACUGAAAAGGAGCAGUAAUAUUUUACGUUCCUCUAGUAUUUGCGGUAAGUACGGAAGAACCGUGCGACCUCGUAACGUGUACCUGUGGCAUCUGGACAGGCGGAACGUGAACGCGAUAAUAUUUUCAGUUGCGAUCUAUUGGGUAUGCACAACGUUAUUUAUAGGGCAAUCAUGUGUUGAAAAUUUCCUAAUGCCAAAUUUUUAUGUAAUUAUCAAACCGGUGGCGAACAUGUCCGGGCUAAUGGAUAAAUAUUUUUGAUACACUGCGACGAUGGACGACGCCCCGGCUUUUGCUGCUCUCAUUGCUUGUCUUUUACUAUUUUCGACCGGCCUACAUUACCCGGCGUUGUGGUAUCUCUGGAACAAACUGUAUCUUAUCGACCCAAGCAAAAACGUUCUCCAACUUUACAACGAAACACGUUGAGGAGAGUUUUGCUUAAUAUUUGCAGAAAGAUGGGGUUUUAUCGGCGUACAUCGCUAAAGUUGUCUUAAGUUAUUUGCUGUCGGAAAUGAAAAGGAGAUUUUUCAGAAAAGAAGAUAUAUUUUUUUUAUUUUUCGAAACAACGUGACUUAUUAA